GAAAUAGAACCUGAAACCCUGCACUUACAAGCUGUGGAAGCACAUUGCUUGUGUGCCCACGGACUUUGUGUAGACAGGGCCGACGAGUUACGGGAAGUAGCAAGGUUAAGCGCUUAAGGUGGUGAGCCGUAGCGAAAGCGAGUUUUAACUGAGCGUUCAGUUACUGGACGUAGACCCGAAACCGGGCGACCUACCCAUGGGCAGGAUGAAGCGAAAGUAAAAUUUCGGGGAGGUCCGAACCCACGAGCGUUGAAAAGCUCGGGGAUGACUUGUGGGUAGCGGUGAAAUUCCAAUCGAGCCCGGAGAUAGCUGGUUCUCCCCGAAAUAGCUUUAGGGCUAGCCUCAAGGUGAGAGAUACGGAGGUAGAGCACUGAAUGUCCUAGGGGGUAUUGCACCUACCGAAGACUAUCAAACUCCGAAU
rnacentral:rRNA from 1 species